UAAUGGGAAACCAAGAGCAUACGGUGGAUGCCUAGGGUCUUUGAGGCGAUGAAGGACGUUGCGUGGCGACGAAAACUUCGGGGAGGCGCUUAGCGGCCUUUGAUCCGGAGGUCUCCGAAUGGGGCAACCCCUUGCUGACAAAUCAGCAAGAUCCCAAUUUCAUAUUGGGAAGCAUACCCAGGGAAGUGAAACAUCUCAUUACCUGGAGGAAAAUAGAACAAUCUUGCCUGCGCAAGCAGGUGUUAUUCCUUUAGUAGCGGCGAGCGAAAAAGGAAAAGCCCAAACUCAGCUUUAAUUCCAGUAUACCAAUAGUGGUAUUUUGGAAUUAAGGUUGGGAGUUAUAAGGCAGUAGCGCUUUGAAUAAGAGGAAGAGUUACAAAACGCUUGGUUAGUAGAAUCCGUUGGAAAGCGGAGCCAAAGAAGGUGAAAGCCCUGUAAACGAAAACUUUGCGUCUCUUUAGCUGCUGUUCUUGAGUACUUCAGGACACGAAUGGCCUGGAGGAAUUUGCCGGAACUAACCGGUAAGGCUAAAUACUUAAAGACACCGAUAGUGAACAAGUACCGUGAGGGAAAGGUGAAAAACACCCCGGAAGGGGAGUGAAAUAGAUCUGAAACCGUAUGCUUACAAAGAGUCGGAGCCCGAUCCGCAAGGGUCUAGGGUGACGGCGUGCCUAUUGAAGAAUGAGCCAACGAGUUUAUCCCAAUCCUUUGUCUAAUCCACCUUAGGUGGAGAAGGCGUAGGGAAACCGAGUGUUAAUAGCGCGUUCAGGUUUGGGAUAAGACCCGAAGCCGGGUGAGCUACCCAUGAGCAGGAUGAACUCCGAUGAAAAUCGGAGGGAGGUCCGAACCGAUAAGCCGUGCAAAACUUUCGGAUGACUUGUGGGUUGGAGUGAAAAGCUAAUCGAACCCGGUAAUAGCUGGUUCUCUCCGAAAUAGCUUUCGGGCUAGCGUCGAGUGAUACCUUUGGGGGUAGAGCUACUGGAUGGAUAGAAUAGGGAGAAAUCUCGUCUGUCUAAUCAAACUCCGAAUACCAAAGAUUUUAACUCGGCAGUCAGACUACGGGGGCAAAGCUCCGUCGGUCAAAAGGGAAACAGCCCAGAUCUCAAGUUAAGGUCCCUAAAUUCAUGCUAAGUGCGUCUUAAGGAGGUUAGAUUUCUCCGACAAUGAGGAGGUUGGCUUAGAAGCAGCCAUCCUUUAAAGAAAGCGUAACAGCUCACUCAUCGAGAGAUUUUGCGCCGCAGAUAAUCGGGGCUAAGCAUGGUACCGAAGCUGAGGACUCUUUCUGAUUUCGAUCAGAAGGAUUGGUAGGAGAGUGUUCCACACCGCGUUGAAGUUCUAGCCGCGAGGCGGAAUGGAGUGUGUGGAAGUAAGAAUGUUGGCACAAGUAACCACAAGUCCGAUGAAAAAUCGGACCGCCGAAAGACUAAGGUUUCCUUGGUAAUGUUAAUCAGCCAAGGGUUAGUCGGUCCUAAGGGGAUGGCGAAAGCCGCACCUAAUGGAUACACGGUUAAUAUUCCGUGACUUCCAUGCUUUUCGAUGGAGUGACGGAGGAAAUAAACGCAAGUACUUUAUUGGAUUAGUACUCCUUGCGAGAGAAGUGUUCGCCAUGCAAAUCAGGCGGACUGAUUUAAUUCAAACUUCAUUCGUCGGGAAAACUUUGUUCGUUCGCGGACAGGGAAUUUGCGUGAAGAGCCUCCCUAGAAAAACUUCUAAGAAUAAAAGCAUGGGAACCGUACCGCAAACCGACACAGGUAGUCAGGUCGAGAAGACCAAGGCGAACGAGUGAGAAGUCCCCAAGGAACUCGGCAAAAAAGCGACCGUAACUUAGGGAUAAGGUCUUCCCGCACAUAACUUACCAAAUAACUUUUAAAGUUAAACAUGUUUUAUUUCGUAGAACAUUUAUUUAAUAAAAAAGAUUGUUUGUUGAGUUAUGUGCGGGACGCAGCGAAAGUAUCUCUGGCGACUGUUUAUCAAAAACACAGCUCCCUGCGAACUCGUAAGAGGAUGUAUAGGGGGUGACGCCUGACCAAUGCCAGAAGGUUAAAAUAUGUCGGUUUGGGUCGCAAGAUUCAAGCUGAACGUAUUAAGCCCUGGUGAAUGUCGGCAAUAACUAUAAUUGUCCUAAGGUAGCGAAAUACCUUGUCGGGUAGGAAACUGCCCAUCCCGAUGGCGACAUUGGGAUUAAAUCCGGCUUAUAACGGUGGAAUCCUUUUGCACAUAAUGCGCAAAGUAAAAGGACAAUACCGUGGGAAGUCCCAGUUUGAUUUAUCAAAUUUGGACCCCGUAACGACUUAAGUCGCCUAUGUAUAGUGGCGACUUGGAUAGAUUAUUGAUAUAAUCUAUAACAUGCCGGCUCUCAAGAAAAAACGCAAUAUACAUGAAUAUAUUUCCGGAUAUGUAGAUGGAGAAGGGUGCUUUAGUGUUUCAUUUUCAAAACGAGAUAAAUUUAUCGUCGGCUGGGAAACUAAACCAAGUUUUUCAGUUAGCCAAAAUGAAGAUAGAGCACAAACACUUUUCCUAAUACAAAAGAUAUUGAAAUGCGGAUUUAUGCGAAGAGAUUUUUCAGAUAAAACUUUGAAAUACGAAGUUAGAAGUCUGGAAGAUCUAAUCAAAAAAGUAAUUCCUCAUUUUGAAAAGUUUCCAAUGGUUUCAAAUAAGCAAAAAGAUUUCAAAUUAUUCAAGCAAGUUUGUUUCUUGAUGCAAAGAAAUAUGCACAGGAAAAAAAACGGAUUGAAUAAAAUAAUGAGUCUUGCGUUUAAAAUGAAUCCAGGGGGAAAAAGAAAAUAUACGAAAGCAGAAAUGCAAAAAGCGUUGAGAUGAAGAUAUAGUCUGAUACUCCUUGUAAAAGGAGAUAACACAGUGAAGUUCCGACGCGCAUGAAUGGCGUAACGACCAGAGAACUGUCUCGGGGACUCGCUCGGUGAAAAUACAAUACCGGUGAAGAUGCCGGUUACCCACAGUUAGACGAAAAGACCCCGUGAAGCUUUACUACAACUUGAUAUUGAGCGUGUUUUUUUGUUGCGUAGAAUAGAUGGGAGACUUUGAAGUUUCGAUUCCGGUCGGAAUGGAGUCAUCAGUGCAAUACCAUCCUUUAGAGAGGCACGUUCUAACCAGUACGGCAAAAACGGACUGGAACAGUAUCUGGUGGGUAGUUUGUUUGGGGCGAAUCCCUCCUAAAAAGUAACGGAGGGGUCUACCAAGGUUCCCUAGGCGCGAAUGGAAACCGUGCCGAUAGCGUAAUGGCAUAAGGGAGCUUAACUGCGAGGCGUACAUGCCGAGCAGAUGCGAAAGCAGAGCAUAGUGAACCGACCACUCGCAUUAGACGCGGUGGAAGAUUAUCGGACAAAAGCUACUCCGGGGAUAACAGGCUAGUUCCGCCCAAGAGUUCAAAUCGACGGCGGAGUUCGGCACCU
rnacentral:rRNA from 1 species